rnacentral:rRNA from 1 species
AACGUAGGUCACGAGCGUUGUCCGGAAUUACUGGGUGUAAAGGGAGCGCAGGCGGGUAUGCAAGUUGGGAGUGAAAUGCAUGGGCUCAACCCAUGAACUGCUCUCAAAACUGUGUAUCUUGAGUAGUGCAGAGGUAGGCGGAAUUCCCGGUGUAGCGGUGGAAUGCGUAGAUAUCGGGAGGAACACCAGUGGCGAAGGCGGCCUGCUGGGCACCAACUGACGCUGAGGCUCGAAAGUGUGGGUAGCAAACAGG